AUUGAACGCUGGCGGCAUGCCUUACACAUGCAAGUCGAACGGUAACGGGCCUUCGGGUGCCGACGAGUGGCGAACGGGUGAGUAAUACAUCGGAACGUGCCCGAUCGUGGGGGAUAACGAGGCGAAAGCUUUGCUAAUACCGCAUACGAUCUACGGAUGAAAGCAGGGGACCGCAAGGCCUUGCGCGGACGGAGCGGCCGAUGGCAGAUUAGGUAGUUGGUGGGAUAAAAGCUUACCAAGCCGACGAUCUGUAGCUGGUCUGAGAGGAUGAUCAGCCACACUGGGACUGAGACACGGCCCCGACUCCUACGGGAGGCAGCAGUGGGGAAUUUUGGACAAAGGGCGCAAGCCUGAUCCAGCCAUGCCGCGUGCAGGAUGAAGGCCUUCGGGUUGUAAACUGCUUUUGUACGGAACGAAAAGCCUUCUUUUAAUACAGGAGGGUCAUGACGGUACCGUAAGAAUAAGCACCGGCUAACUACGUG
rnacentral:rRNA from 1 species